rnacentral:misc_RNA from 1 species
UUAAGUUCAGCGGGUAUUCCUACCUGAUCCGAGGUCAACCUUAGAAGUUUCCUAGUUAAAGGAGAGGACCGGGUCCCGGGUGCCCUGGUCCGAUACGUGCUCGGUUAAAAGCUCAGUGUACCGGGGGAACCGCAGGCCGCCGUCAUUGUCUUUGGGAGGGGCAGGAGCCCCCGAGGGGGCCUCCACCAAACCGUCCAACA